UCCCUGGUGGCCCAAAGGCUAAGAUUCUGUGCUCCCAAAGCAGGGGGCCCAGGUUCAAUCCCUGGUCAGGGAA
rfam:Ovis aries breed Texel chromosome 3, whole genome shotgun sequence.